rnacentral:rRNA from 1 species
GACGAACGCUGGCGGCGUGCUUAACACAUGCAAGUCGAACGAAGAGCGAUGGAAGCUUGCUUCUAUCAAUCUUAGUGGCGAACGGGUGAGUAACGCGUAAUCAACCUGCCCUUCAGAGGGGGACAACAGUUGGAAACGACUGCUAAUACCGCAUACGAUCUAAUCUCGGCAUCGAGGAUAGAUGAAAGGUGGCCUCUACAUGUAAGCUAUCACUGAAGGAGGGGAUUGCGUCUGAUUAGCUAGUUGGAGGGGUAACGGCCCACCAAGGCGAUGAUCAGUAGCCGGUCUGAGAGGAUGAACGGCCACAUUGGGACUGAGAAACGGCCCAGACUCCUACGGGAGCAGCAGUGGGGAAUCUUCCGGAAUGGACGAAAGUCUGACGGAGCAACGCCGCGUGAGCGAUGACGGCCUUCGGGUUGUAAAGCUCUGUUAAUCGGGACGAAAGGCCUUCUUGCGAAUAGUGAGAAGGAUUGACGGUACCGGAAUAGAAAGCCACGGCUAACUACGUG